CUGGCAGAUGGCUAAACCAGCAGGAUUACAAAGGUCAGGGAAGAGUUGCAGACUUCGUUGGGUGAAUUACUUAAGGCUUGGAAUUAAACAUGGGAAUUUCACUAAGGAAGAAGAGCAAGCAAUAAUUGAUUUACAUGAAAAGCUUGGAACAGGUGGUCAGCGAUCGCAUCAAAAUUGCCCGGAAGAAACUGAUAUGAGAUUAAAAACCAUUGGCUUGCUCAUUUAAGAAGACGUUUCAAGUACGAUCUGAAUUCAUUGCCGGAGAGUGAACCUUGCCAGCCAUCCAAUGCUGAAACAGACCAAAAUAUCUCAUUCAGAAUUGAUCUCCCAGUACCCAAUGUUCCAAGACCAUCGAUUUUGGAAAGCUUAGGUUCUAUUUCUACCGACAGAUUACCUUCAUCGAGCUCGAAUCCACCGUUCGAAAUCGAAGAAAAGCCAACAUCAAGGAUCCAUUGGUUCUUUGGACAACUUCAAAGCAUAAUAGGGUAUUGGUUCAUUGUUUUCAGCAGCAGCCAGCUCUCUGCUGGCGUUUGUUCCUGUAUAUACCAGGGUAAUUCCUACAAUGAUGUUAGGCACGACUAAA